AAUGAAAAUCCUGGAGAACAGAGUGGAAGAAACGCGUAUUCCACAUUUCCUGUUGAUUUUCUUUCCUCCCUAAACACUGACCUCCCGCAGUCUUCACUAGCAGGUGAGGUCACCUGUAGAGGUCAUGCUGCGGAGUCCCGAGUCCCUGAUUAUAUUCAAGACGUGGAGCUCUCUUUUUCCCGUCCUGCUUUCUUUCCAGAAGUGCCUCAGAUGCAUCCUCCCCUUCUCUUUUCUCCACAUGAAGACGUCACUGACCAUCUUCUCUGGUUUGCUUUCCAACACCGAGCACCAAGUGCUUCAAAGGUCAUGGUGCCCUGGGGCCGAGAGCUACUUAUGUGGGCAUUUAUAACCAAAUAAAUAUUGAAAUGGCCCACAAAGCAAAUGUUAGUGGUAACCAACAGCGGUAAAACUGGGUACAUGGGACCCUGAACCUUCUUGAAUAUUCCCCAUGAGACCCUGGGCCGACCUUCGGGCUUUCCAGUGUGCUCAGAAAAUCCUCCGUGGCUCCCAGCCCCAGCUUAGUCUUUCAACGGUCCUCGGACUGAAGCAAGAGACAGGGAAGGAAUUGUCCAAGGUUUUCCAGCAUGCUGAGAACACUUACCAUGGUGGAGCCUGGCACGUACUGGCUCUUUGAUGCAUGUGUAUUGGUCUCAAGUAGCCAGAAGCAUCUCCUCUGAGAGCCCUUGCCCUCCAGUUUAAAUGGCAAAUGGAAGGGAAUGGGUUCUGGAAGGCCCCAGGUGGGCUGGGGUGGGUUCUGGAGACCAUCUUCCAACUCCUGUUCAGGAGGAGGGUUGGUCAGAUCAGCUCUGUGGCCACCUGGGCUCUGGAGGGGCGAGAUACGGGCAGGUGCGGCCACAGGAGGGAGAGCACCAUGUGCGGGGGAAGCCCACAGCUGGAACCAAAAGGCCCCAGGAGGGAUCCUGGCUCUGACAUCUCCCAGCCGUGUGGCCUUGGGCAAGGUCCCUGACUUGGACCUCAGCCUCCUCAUCUGUAAAACAGGCAGAACAGUAAUACCGACCUUGUAGGUUGUAUAGAGUUCAUAUACAUCAAGCACUUACCACAGUGCCUGGCGGACCGCAUGCCCUAAACACACAAUCCGUGAAAUGAAUCCAUCAGCAAGCAGCUGCUAGGGGCAGUGUGGGGCAGAGAGGCAGCUGCCUGCUGGAACUGGCUGACAGGAGGAUGAGUGUGUGGCAGGAGGAACGCUCUGCACAGAGGACACUAGGUAGCGUCACCUGUCUCUUACCCUGUGUCUCCACUGGAAUGGAAUGUCAGACUCGCACCAUGCAUUCCUUUCCCUGCCAAAACGCCUCCUCUUAGCAGUGAGCAAGAAAGUUGUUCGAGUGGAUGAAGCCAAAAGCCCAUUUGGCAAGAGUGCUGUUUUGGAAAAUGCUUAGCGGUGUGGGUUGGGAUGAGGUUUUCUGUGCCUUUCCAUUAUUUCUUCAGCUUCAUGUAACCCUGACUGAGCAAUGCUCAGCAGAGUGAAGGCUGGGCAGCAGAUGGACAAGAUUUUCUCAAACUCCUUUUUAAGCCAAUUUCAAAAUAGAGAGAGGGAAAAAUCCUUGUUUUCUCUUUUCGGUUUUGAGAGGUUUCAUAUGCAGACACAAUUUUAAAUUUUAUUUUUUUUGCCCCCAAUGAGAUGUUUGGAGAUGGUGGUACUAGAACAGGAAGGAAUUUAUAAGUAUUGGGGAAUUUUUCAUCCCAAUUCCCAUAUCCUCCUAUAAUUCAAGGAGUGAAUGGGUAGUGUUUUUGUUUUUGUGAGAGGGGUGGCGGAGGGUAGAGAGAGAAAGAGAGAGAGACAGAGAGAGAUUACAUAGAGGUGUCCAAAAUGAACACAGUAAAAACCAGUUUUGAUUAAUUCUGCAAUAUUAAGUAGGCAGCCAAAAAUUUUGGUCUGCUUAAUUCUUAGCUCAUCUAAGUCUCCAGUUGACUGAUUGAUUGAUUGAAUGACUUAUUCAACAUGCGCUAGCCAGACACUGGUCUAGGGCCCAGGAAUUCAGCAAUAAAUGAAACAAGACC